AGCUCCAAUAGCGUAUAUUAAAGUUGCUGCAGUUAAAAAGCUCGUAGUUGGAUCUUGGGAGCGGGCGGGCGGUCCGCCGCGAGGCGAGCCACCGCCCGUCCCCGCCCCUUGCCUCUCGGCGCCCCCUCGAUGCUCUUAGCUGAGUGUCCCGCGGGGCCCGAAGCGUUUACUUUGAAAAAAUUAGAGUGUUCAAAGCAGGCCCGAGCCGCCUGGAUACCGCAGCUAGGAAUAAUGGAAUAGGACCGCGGUUCUAUUUUGUUGGUUUUCGGAACUGAGGCCAUGAUUAAGAGGGACGGCCGGGGGCAUUCGUAUUGCGCCGCUAGAGGUGAAAUUCUUGGACCGGCGCAAGACGGACCAGAGCGAAAGCAUUUGCCAAGAAUGUUG
rnacentral:rRNA from 1 species